rnacentral:rRNA from 1 species
UACAGAGGUCCCGAGCGUUGUUCGGAUUCACUGGGCGUAAAGGGUGCGUAGGUGGUGAGGUAAGUCGGAUGUGAAAUCUCCGGGCUUAACCCGGAAACUGCAUUGGAAACUACCUUGCUAGAGGUUUUGAGGGGGGACUGGAAUUCUCGGUGUAGCAGUGAAAUGCGUAGAUAUCGAGAGGAACACCGGUGGCGAAGGCGAGUCCCUGGAAAACACCUGACACUGAGGCACGAAAGCUAGGGGAGCAAACAGG